UGGCUCAGAUUGAACGCUGGCGGCAGGCCUAACACAUGCAAGUCGAGCGGUAGCACAGAGAGCUUGCUCUCGGGUGACGAGCGGCGGACGGGUGAGUAAUGUCUGGGAAACUGCCUGAUGGAGGGGGAUAACUACUGGAAACGGUAGCUAAUACCGCAUAAUGUCGCAAGACCAAAGUGGGGGACCUUCGGGCCUCAUGCCAUCAGAUGUGCCCAGAUGGGAUUAGCUAGUAGGUGGGGUAACGGCUCACCUAGGCGACGAUCCCUAGCUGGUCUGAGAGGAUGACCAGCCACACUGGAACUGAGACACGGUCCAGACUCCUACGGGAGGCAGCAGUGGGGAAUAUUGCACAAUGGGCGCAAGCCUGAUGCAGCCAUGCCGCGUGUGUGAAGAAGGCCUUCGGGUUGUAAAGCACUUUCAGCGGGGAGGAAGGCGAUAAGGUUAAUAACCUUGUCGAUUGACGUUACCCGCAGAAGAAGCACCGGCUAACUCCGUGCCAGCAGCCGCGGUAAUACGGAGGGUGCAAGCGUUAAUCGGAAUUACUGGGCGUAAAGCGCACGCAGGCGGUCUGUCAAGUCGGAUGUGAAAUCCCCGGGCUCAACCUGGGAACUGCAUUCGAAACUGGCAGGCUAGAGUCUUGUAGAGGGGGGUAGAAUUCCAGGUGUAGCGGUGAAAUGCGUAGAGAUCUGGAGGAAUACCGGUGGCGAAGGCGGCCCCCUGGACAAAGACUGACGCUCAGGUGCGAAAGCGUGGGGAGCAAACAGGAUUAGAUACCCUGGUAGUCCACGCCGUAAACGAUGUCGAUUUGGAGGUUGUGCCCUUGAGGCGUGGCUUCCGGAGCUAACGCGUUAAAUCGACCGCCUGGGGAGUACGGCCGCAAGGUUAAAACUCAAAUGAAUUGACGGGGGCCCGCACAAGCGGUGGAGCAUGUGGUUUAAUUCGAUGCAACGCGAAGAACCUUACCUGGUCUUGACAUCCACAGAACUUNNCAGAGAUGCAUUGGUGCCUUCGGGAACUGUGAGACAGGUGCUGCAUGGCUGUCGUCAGCUCGUGUUGUGAAAUGUUGGGUUAAGUCCCGCAACGAGCGCAACCCUUAUCCUUUGUUGCCAGCGGUCCGGCCGGGAACUCAAAGGAGACUGCCAGUGAUAAACUGGAGGAAGGUGGGGAUGACGUCAAGUCAUCAUGGCCCUUACGACCAGGGCUACACACGUGCUACAAUGGCAUAUACAAAGAGAAGCGACCUCGCGAGAGCAAGCGGACCUCAUAAAGUAUGUCGUAGUCCGGAUUGGAGUCUGCAACUCGACUCCAUGAAGUCGGAAUCGCUAGUAAUCGUAGAUCAGAAUGCUACGGUGAAUACGUUCCCGGGCCUUGUACACACCGCCCGUCACACCAUGGGAGUGGGUUGCAAAAGAAGUAGGUAGCUUAACCUUCGGGAGGGCGCUUACCACUUUGUGAUUCAUGACUGGGGUGAA
rnacentral:rRNA from 1 species